GUCGCGAUUUCCAGGGGAGAGACUACGUCUUGCUUCUUCGGGACUCCUCUCAUCAGGAGUGGGGCUACGUUUCAUAGCUUUUGAAGGAGGAGGCGACAAACUGUGCCUCUUUGGGCUUGGUCUGCCUCUUGGGCUCCUUGAUCUUUUAUCUGAUCGUUCGAGGCUUCUCUCUCUUUUUACGGGCGAUCUAGAUCGGCUGUAGCUACGACCUCUG
rnacentral:misc_RNA from 1 species